rnacentral:rRNA from 1 species
AAACCAACAGGGAUUGCCUUAGUAGCGGCGAGUGAAGCGGCAAAAGCUCAAAUUUGAAAUCUGGCACUUUCAGUGUCCGAGUUGUAAUUUGAAGAAGGUAUCUUUGGGUCUGGCUCUUGUCUAUGUUUCUUGGAACAGAACGUCACAGAGGGUGAGAAUCCCGUGCGAUGAGAUGUCCCAGACCUAUGUAAAGUUCCUUCGAAGAGUCGAGUUGUUUGGGAAUGCAGCUCUAAGUGGGUGGUAAAUUCCAUCUAAAGCUAAAUAUUGGCGAGAGACCGAUAGCGAACAAGUACAGUGAUGGAAAGAUGAAAAGAACUUUGAAAAGAGAGUGAAAAAGUACGUGAAAUUGUUGAAAGGGAAGGGCUUGAGAUCAGACUUGGUAUUUUGUAUGUUACUCUCUCGGGGGUGGCCUCUACAGUUUACCGGGCCAGCAUCAGUUUGGGCGGUAGGACAAUUGCAAAGAAAUGUGGCACUGCCUCGGUAGUGUGUUAUAGUCUUUGUCGAUACUGCCAGCCUAGACUGAGGACUGCGGCUUCGGCCUAGGAUGUUGGCAUAAUGAUCUUAAGUC